GAUGAACGCUAGCUACAGGCUUAACACAUGCAAGUCGAGGGGCAGCAUGAACUUAGCUUGCUAAGUUUGAUGGCGACCGGCGCACGGGUGAGUAACACGUAUCCAACCUUCCGUUUACUCAGGGAUAGCCUUUCGAAAGAAAGAUUAAUACCUGAUAGUAUGGUGAGAUUGCAUGAUAGCACCAUUAAAGAUUUAUUGGUAAACGAUGGGGAUGCGUUCCAUUAGGUAGUAGGCGGGGUAACGGCCCACCAAGGCGACGAUCAGUAGGGGUUCUGAGAGGAAGGUCCCCCACAUUGGAACUGAGACACGGUCCAAACUCCUACGGGAGGCAGCAGUGAGGAAUAUUGGUCAAUGGACGAGAGUCUGAACCAGCCAAGUAGCGUGCAGGAUGACGGCCCUAUGGGUUGUAAACUGCUUUAUAAGGGAUAAAGUGAGUCUCGUGAGGCUUUUUGCAUGUACCUUAUGAAUAAGGACCGGCUAAUUCCGUGCCAGCAGCCGACGG
rnacentral:rRNA from 1 species